UACGGGGGGAGCAAGCGUUGUUCGGAUUUACUGGGCGUAAAGGGCGCGUAGGCGGCCAGCGCAAGUCAGUUGUGAAAUCUCCGGGCUUAACUCGGAACGGUCAACUGAUACUGCGCGGCUAGAGUGCAGAAGGGGCAACUGGAAUUCUCGGUGUAGCGGUGAAAUGCGUAGAUAUCGAGAGGAACACCAGUAGCGAAGGCGGCUCGCUGGGCCAUUCCUGACGCUGAGACGCGAAAGCUAGGGGAGCGAACAGG
rnacentral:rRNA from 1 species